rnacentral:rRNA from 1 species
CGGCAGGCCUAAUACAUGCAAGUCGGACGGGAUCCAUCGGUAGCUUGCUACCGAUGGUGAGAGUGGCGCACGGGUGCGUAACGCGUGAGCAACCUGCCCAUAUCAGGGGGAUAGCCCGGAGAAAUCCGGAUUAACACCGCAUGACACUGCUUUCCGGCAUCGGGAGGCGGUCAAAUAUUCAUAGGAUAUGGAUGGGCUCGCGUGACAUUAGCUAGUUGGUGGGGUAACGGCCCACCAAGGCGACGAUGUCUAGGGGCUCUGAGAGGAGAAUCCCCCACACUGGUACUGAGACACGGACCAGACUCCUACGGGAGGCAGCAGUAAGGAAUAUUGGUCAAUGGGGGCAACCCUGAACCAGCCAUGCCGCGUGCAGGACGACUGCCCUAUGGGUUGUAAACUGCUUUUGUUAGGGAAUAAACCCCGCUACGUGUAGCGGGCUGAAUGUACCUAAAGAAUAAGGAUCGGCUAACUCCGUGCCAGCAGCCGCGGUAAUACGGAGGAUCCGAGCGUUAUCCGGAUUUAUUGGGUUUAAAGGGUGCGUAG